rnacentral:rRNA from 1 species
GACGUAGGGCGCGAGCGUUUGUCCGGAUUUAUUGGGCGUAAAGAGCUCGUAGGCGGUCUGUCGCGUCGGCUGUGAAAACCCGGGGGCUCAACCCCCGGGCCUGCAGUCGAUACGGGCAGACUAGAGUGCGGUAGGGGAGACUGGAAUUCCUGGUGUAGCGGUGAAAUGCGCAGAUAUCAGGAGGAACACCGGUGGCGAAGGCGGGUCUCUGGGCCGUAACUGACGCUGAGGAGCGAAAGCGUGGGGAGCGAACAGG